GGGCGGAUGGUUUAGUGGUAUAAUUUUCCCUUAGCAUAGUGCCACCUUCUGGUAGCAUAACCGCAUGGGAAAGGUCCGGGGUUCGAUUCCCCGUUCGUCCA
rnacentral:tRNA from 1 species